rnacentral:rRNA from 1 species
UACGGAGGGGGCGAGCGUUGUCCGAAGUUACUGGGCGUAAAGCGCGCGUAGGCGGGUUGGUAAGUCCGCUGUGAAAGCCCGGAGCUUAACUCCGGAGGGUCGGUGGAUACUGCCAGUCUUGAAGGUGCUAGGGGGAGAUGGAAUUACCGGUGUAGCGGUGAAAUGCGUAGAGAUCGGUAGGAACACCAGUGGCGAAGGCGGUCUCCUGGGGCAUUCUUGACGCUGAGGCGCGAAAGCUGGGGGAGUGAACGGG